GACAGAGGUGCCGAGCGUUAGGCGGAAUCACUGGGCUUAAAGCGUGUGUAGGCGGGUCGUUAAGUGCCUUGUGAAAUCCCACAGCUCACCUGUGGAACUGCUUGGCAUACUGGCGAUCUUGAGCCACUUAGGGGCAACCGGAACAAACGGUGGAGCGGUGAAAUGCGUAGAUAUCGGGAGGAACAUCAGUGGCGAAGGCGGCCAUCUGGAUCAACACUGACGCUGAGGCACGAAAGCGUGGGGAGCAAACAGG
rnacentral:rRNA from 1 species